UAUGUAACGUCACAGUGAUUGUGGCGAUUUAGUUGCUAUUGUGCUAGAGGCGGAAGGCGAAAGCGGCACUUUUAGUUGAAAGUAUAAUAGUUUUACACUGACAGAACCGCACAAAAUACUAAACUCGAUCAACAGGAGAAGCUUUAUAUGUUCAGUACGAGGGUGUCACAAUAAUUGUAUCUAGAGCCAGUUUUUACAACAAAUAUGUUUUUAACACCAACCUCUACGUCUAUCUGAAUGUACCUGUGGAACUCAAUUCGACCUGCAUCCGCAUCCUAAAGAGACAGUCUUUGCGGCUCUGGCUCAAAGCGUUGUUCCUAAAGAAACCACCAAAACCUCCCUUUGUGUGCUCCUACCACUUAUUUGACAAGAAGCCUACAGUGGAGCAUCCUUACCCAGAAAAAUGGUUUGGCCACGAUGCUCCACUCGUGAAGAAGAGUCGGUCAGGCAGUCAUCAGUGACAGAAGACAGGCUCAAGUGUUCACCGAAUUGAAAAUGGGGAUUGGCCAACAGAGAAGGAAUGGAUAUGCCUUCAGAGAAGGAUGCCCAAACCCAAUGGGAAGACCCAUCUCUAAGUGAUCACAACUACAGCUCAGGUGAUCAUGUAAAGCGAACAGCACACCGACAUGAAACAGAUACAGAAACAAUAACGCCUGGGGAAGGAACCAAAGGGCUGGUGGCCAUUGCUCCUUGUUGUUUAGUGAUGUACAUCUCCUCAGCAUAUGGAGGUAUAUGUAGCGACAAAUAUAUAACAUUGGAUUCUAGGUCCCUGGAGUACCUCUGUCCAGGUGAUGAGGUCAUGGCUUCACAAUCCGUGAUCUGCUACACGAGAGGAAGGUCAAAUGAACAAUUCCUGCCUUCACAAAAAGAGGUUCACAGCUGUCAGAGGAGGACACCACAUGUACAAGACGGAUAACUAACGUGAGGGUUCAUGUGGAACGCGUAAUUCAACGGCUCAAACGGUUUAGAAUCAUCACAAACAGUACCAAUCAACCUCUCAUCUAAAAUGGACAAAAUACUUUGAAUCUGUGCUGCUCUGUGUAACAUGCGUGGUGAUAUCCUUCAUGAAGACGCUGAGUGAACUGACUAGUCAAAUGCCAUUUUCAAUGUCGAUUUCCCAAUAUGAAUUAAAGUUGUCAAAAGUUACGUUAAAUAAAUGUCAAUUCAUUCUAUAACAACUCAA